CCUACGGGAGACAGCAGUGAGGAAUAUUGGUCAAUGGACGAGAGUCUGAACCAGCCAAGUAGCGUGAAGGAUGACUGCCCUAUGGGUUGUAAACUUCUUUUAUAUGGGAAUAAAAUGUUCCACGUGUGGGCUUUUGUAUGUACCAUAUGAAUAAGGAUCGGCUAACUCCGUGCCAGCAGCCGCGGUAAUACGGAGGAUCCGAGCGUUAUCCGGAUUUAUUGGGUUUAAAGGGAGCGUAGGUGGAUUGUUAAGUCAGUUGUGAAAGUUUGCGGCUCAACCGUAAAAUUGCAGUUGAAACUGGCAGUCUUGAGUACAGGAGAGGUGGGCGGAAUUCGUGGUGUAGCGGUGAAAUGCUUAGAUAUCACGAAGAACUCCGAUUGCGAAGGCAGCUCACUGGACUGCAACUGACACUGAGGCUCGAAAGUGUGGGUAUCAAACAGGAUUAGAUACCCUGGUAGUC
rnacentral:rRNA from 1 species